AAAUUGGAUGAGGUCAAGAUGUCCGCGGAGAGAAUUUAUUUGGAUUUGCUUGAGAUACUGUAUUUGAAUAGACACCGAACUACAGAAAAUGAAGUGUGCCACUGAAGAAUGCCAAGCUGAAGUAAUGAAAAAGUGAAGACAACGGACAGUGAGGAAAUAAUGCACCCCUGGAGAAAAAACCUGGAAUGUUUAUACCCACAAAAGGGACAAUGAUGUGCACAUAUUCAGGGAAUGAAGAUGGGAAUAUUCAUAGUUCAUGACGUUGGUUAAACAAAUAGCAAAAGCAGUAACAUUUUGGAAGAUGCGAUGAUGAAGACCUCUUGCCCAUGGAAUAAACUUGUAAAGAGAAGCUGAUGACUUCUAGUUUAUUGGUGUUUUCACCAAAAAAAGGGGCCUUGUCGAGGAAAAGAGAACAUUAAAUGAAGGUCUAAUAACAGAAUGCAUCCCUGGGGUCAAUGUUACCACCAUUCAUUACAUCAUGAAAGACUUUUAAAGUUUCAAAGAAAAAAAAUUUGA